rnacentral:misc_RNA from 1 species
GUAGAAUCGAGAAUAAAUGUAUAAAGCUAGGCACAAAAAAAGAAGAAAAAUUUAAAAGAACAGUAAUUAAAUAAAAUGAUAGUGAUUCUGAUUGGGGCUAGACACAACACAGACAAGAAAAAGGGACAACGAAGGGGUGGUGGUGAGCAGGAAGAGAUCAGCUCCGUCGGGUGUGGUGGUGGUCACGGAGUGGAGCCUGAGGUGUCGUGGCCGUAUGGGACAUUUGUCAGAGGCAACUUUGGAAAUGGGGCAAAGGGUGGUGGUGGUGCACGGUGGGAAUGAAUGAUAAGAGCCCCUACGCACAAAAGGCCAUACUUUAACCCAUCUUGGCUGCUUCACCAGGGCUGCCUCGUAUACCUUAACCCGACAAUCUCUGUCC